CCUAAAUAAGUGCUUCUUUUUAGAAAUAGCUUGGAGAAAAUCAUUCAAUACCUCUUAUUUAUAGUUUUGUAAUGUUCUUUUUAAAUGCUUCUUACAAUAUCUUGAAAGUUAAGAUCUUUCAAGGAAAGAUUUUGAAAAGUGUCCUGGCCUGAAGUCUUCAUGUUUUAGAAAUCAAGUUUUUAAAACAUCUUAAAAAGCUGUGUCUUUAGUACUGGGUGCAAAAUUUAAACAUUGCCUGCAAUUCCGGAAUAACAAUAAUCCUAACGAUAGAUAUGAUUGAAAAAGUUGGCCAGGUUCAAAAGAGAAACUUCUUCGGGGGAAAAUGGCCAUCCCAUCGUUCUACAUCAACCGCCGGUUUUUCUUUAGGGUGAAGUGAGAGGCUUGAGGGCAGGGAAGCAUCCAAAGGGAAUUUCUCAGUUGGUAAUUUCCUAGCAGAGAGGUUGAGUUAGGUGCUUCUUCCUCGAUAUGGUUCGGAUCUGUGACCCAGUCCAAAUCUCAUGUUGAGUUGUAACCCCCAGGGUUGGAGGUGGGUGGGGUCUGGUGAGCGGUGAUUGGAUCGUGGGGACCGUUUCCCAUGGUCUAGCACCACCCUGCCUUGUUACUGACAUCCGGUUGUUUGAAGAUGCACGGCCCCCACACCCCCUUUCCUCUGCUUGCUACGGGUCUGGCCAUGUGAAGUGCCUGCUCCCGCUUCACCUUCCAUUACUUUCCUGAGGCCUUCCCAGCCAUGCUUCCUGGGCAGCCUGCAGAACUCCAGCACUUGAAGUUUCAAAAACGAGGAUCAAGCCGUUCCUGGGAGCAUCCUAUGAGACAUUUGGACACAGGUUUACUUGGAGUCUCGGAGAUAUGACGGAAUCUGGAAAAGUCAAAGGAAAAAAAGCCAAGGUUAAUGGAAUUCAAGAACAUAAAUUCAAGCAGGGACGAUAUAGUGAAAACACUACUAUCUCCAUAAGUCAGUCUUUUUAAUUGCCUAAAGUUUUAACCAAGUCCCGGAGCUUUGGCUAAUGAUGAAAGAGGUAACAGAACAAACUCAAGUCUCUUGUCGAGCAGAUGGAGCUGGUGGAUUCCAGGACACUCCCCAAGGGAGCCAGGGAUGACCAUCUACGGAUCUCAAAGUGGCAACAUUUGCAAACCAGGACCCAGGAGCCAAUUUAACAAAUGUCAGGGCAGCCUGCAGAGAGGAAUGGAAGGAAGAAACAUGCAUUCCACAUCUGGGAGUGUUUAGAAGUUGGAAACCGAUCAUUUAGAAGAAGACAGAGAGGAAUUCCCUUUAUUUCUCAAUCAAUAAAUCAUUGCCACAUAGUUUAA